rnacentral:rRNA from 1 species
GAUGAACGCUGGCGGCGUGCCUAAUACAUGCAAGUCGAGCGAAUGGAUUAAGAGCUUGCUCUUAUGAAGUUAGCGGCGGACGGGUGAGUAACACGUGGGUAACCUGCCCAUAAGACUGGGAUAACUCCGGGAAACCGGGGCUAAUACCGGAUAACAUUUUGAACCGCAUGGUUCGAAAUUGAAAGGCGGCUUCGGCUGUCACUUAUGGAUGGACCCGCGUCGCAUUAGCUAGUUGGUGAGGUAACGGCUCACCAAGGCAAGGAUGCGUAGCCGACCUGAGGGGGUGAUCGGCCAAACUGGGACUGAGACACGGGCCAGACUCCUACGGGAGGCAGCAGUAGGGAAUCGUCCGCAAUGGACGAAAGUCUGACGGAGCAACGCCGCGUGAGUGAUGAAGGCUUUCGGGUCGUAAAACUCUGUUGUUAGGGAAGAACAAGUGCUAGUUGAAUAAGCUGGCACCUUGACGGUACCUAACCAGAAAGCCACGGCUAACUACGUGCCAGCCGCCGCCGUAA